AGCAGAUCUGAGCAGGUGGAUCAGGCACUGUGGGUGAAGCUGGCAGCCCUGUGUGUGCUGCCGAUAUAUGGGACUGUGUGCUGCAGAUUUCAGACCAUGGAUUGACCAGACAGAAAAAGGACAAGAGGAGCAAAGUGACAGCAGUGAGAGCACUGACACCACAAGCAAGUGGAGUGAGCUGAGUGCGUUGUACAGCCAGGGGCUCCACAGUCACCUUUCCCUGGCCCAGAGCCAGCAGUUCCUGAGGGAAGAGGAGCUGAGGGCACGGCAGUACAGCGUCCUCUUCAGGCUCAGAGAGAAAGCACUCUAGGAGAAGACUCGGGCUGAGCUUGAC